rnacentral:tRNA from 1 species
UUCCCACGCCGGGAGUCGAACCCGGGCCGCCUGUGUGAGAGCCAGGAAUCCUGACCGCUAGACCACAUGGGA